rnacentral:rRNA from 1 species
UACGUAGGGGGGCAAGCGUUGUCCGGAAUCAUUGGGCGUAAAGCGCGUGUAGGCGGCCAGAAAAGUCCGCUGUGAAAACUCGAGGCUCAACUUCGAGCUGUCGGUGGAAACUUUCUGGCUAGAGUCCGGAAGAGGAGAAUGGAAUUCCUGGUGUAGCGGUGAAAUGCGCAGAUAUCAGGAAGAACACCCGUGGCGAAGGCGGUUCUCUGGGACGGUACUGACGCUGGAGACGCGAAAGCGUGGGGAGCGAACAGGAUUAGAACCCGUACG